UAAUCAUCUCUUUUUUAUACAGGUUGUCCCUACUAUCUAUACAGAUAUCAGGGGGCGAAAGAUUCACUCAAAUCAGUUUUCUGUGACGGAGCACUUUAGAGAAGCAAUUUGCCUUCCAAGGCCCCCGCCCGGUGUAUAUUUCUUCUAGGAAUUUUCGCCAAUUCAGGUUGAUUUUACUGAAGAAAACACAUCGCUUCUUCACUUGUUGACAAACAUAUGUGCGAUUGUUGGAGGAAUAUUCACCGUGGCUGGCAUCAUAGAUUCAUUUGUGUACCAUGGUCAUCGUGCAAUCAAGAAGAAGAUGGAGAUCGGAAAGCUCGGGUAGGGUAAUUCCAAGUGGAGCAGCAUGUAGCCAGCCAGCCAGUAGGACGGUAGCCAGGAACUGAGCUGCCCUGGAAAGGCGAGCAGAGAGCUCAGGAGGAAUUUUGGUCAAGAAUACUAUAUUAUUGUAAUGCAGUUCCUACUCACUCGACUUUUGCUGGUAAUUAUUUGAUCCCAGAUGUGUCAAUCAUAGAGGUUUAUUCUUUCUUACUCUCUUGUGUAAGCAACCGGAUCGCAGUGUUUGUCUUAUAGCAGUUCAAAGUCUUGUGUAACAAUACUACAUACACAAAA